AACGAACGCUGGCGGCAGGCUUAACACAUGCAAGUCGAACGCCCCGCAAGGGGAGUGGCAGACGGGUGAGUAACGCGUGGGAAUCUACCCAUCCCUACGGAACAACUCCGGGAAACUGGAGCUAAUACCGUAUACGCCCUUAGGGGGAAAGAUUUAUCGGGGAUAGAUGAGCCCGCGUUGGAUUAGCUAGUUGGUGGGGUAAAGGCCUACCAAGGCGACGAUCCAUAGCUGGUCUGAGAGGAUGAUCAGCCACAUUGGGACUGAGACACGGCCCAAACUCCUACGGGAGGCAGCAGUGGGGAAUAUUGGACAGUGGGCGCAAGCCUGAUCCAGCCAUGCCGCGUGAGUGAUGAAGGCCUUAGGGUUGUAAAGCUCUUUCACCGAUGAAGAUAAUGACGGUAGUCGGAGAAGAAGCCCCGGCUAACUUCGUGCCAGCCGCCGCCGUAAUAC
rnacentral:rRNA from 1 species